AGCGCAGAGCCUGGGAGGCUGCGCCUGAACCGCUGAGAGAGCGCGGGGAAGGGAGCUCCCGGCCCCAACUGAGGCCUCCUCGGUCAAUAGAAAUGGAUGGGAAAGGUGUUAGGAGCGCGCCGGGGGUUGGAUGAGGGGUUGAAUAAAUCCAGAACAAGUGAAAAAGCUGAACCGCACCCUUCUAUGAAGCGUUUACCCAUUUGAGUACUGUCCACAAAAAAUGAACUCAUGCUAUGUGUAAGGAAGGUUGGAGACUUAACAGUAAAGGGGUUUUGUUUAU